AUUGAACGCUGGCGGCAGGCUUAACACAUGCAAGUCGAGCGGGGGAAGGUAGCUUGCUACUGGACCUAGCGGCGGACGGGUGAGUAAUGCUUAGGAAUCUGCCUAUUAGUGGGGGACAACAUCUCGAAAGGGAUGCUAAUACCGCAUACGUCCUACGGGAGAAAGCAGGGGAUCUUCGGACCUUGCGCUAAUAGAUGAGCCUAAGUCGGAUUAGCUAGUUGGUGGGGUAAAGGCCUACCAAGGCGACGAUCUGUAGCGGGUCUGAGAGGAUGAUCCGCCACACUGGGACUGAGACACGGCCCAGACUCCUACGGGAGGCAGCAGUGGGGAAUAUUGGACAAUGGGGGGAGCCCUGAUCCAGCCAUGCCGCGUGUGUGAAGAAGGCCUUAUGGUUGUAAAGCACUUUAAGCGAGGAGGAGGCUACUUUAGUUAAUACCUAGAGAUAGUGGACGUUACUCGCAGAAUAAGCACCGGCUAACUCUGUGCCAGCAGCCGCGGUAAUACAGAGGGUGCGAGCGUUAAUCGGAUUUACUGGGCGUAAAGCGUGCGUAGGCGGCUUAUUAAGUCGGAUGUGAAAUCCCCGAGCUUAACUUGGGAAUUGCAUUCGAUACUGGUGAGCUAGAGUAUGGGAGAGGAUGGUAGAAUUCCAGGUGUAGCGGUGAAAUGCGUAGAGAUCUGGAGGAAUACCGAUGGCGAAGGCAGCCAUCUG
rnacentral:rRNA from 1 species